AGAGUUUGAUCCUGGCUCAGAUUGAACGCUAGCGGUAUGCUUAACACAUGCAAGUCGAACGGCAGCGCGGAGAGCUUGCUCUCUGGCGGCGAGUGGCGGACGGGGGAGUAACGCGUGGGAAUCUACCCAGUAGUGGGGGAUAACUCGAGGAAACUCGAGCUAAUACCGCAUAAUCUCUACGGAGUAAAGCGGGGGACCUUAGGGCCUCGCGCUUAAAGAUGAGCCUGCGUCGGAUUAGCUAGUUGGUGAGGUAAAGGCUCACCAAGGCGACGAUCCGUAGCUGGUCUGAGAGGAUGAUCAGCCACACUGGGACUGAGACACGGCCCAGACUCCUACGGGAGGCAGCAGUAGGGAAUAUUGGACAAUGGGCGAAAGCCUGAUCCAGCAAUGCCGCGUGUGUGAAGAAGGCCUGCGGGUUGUAAAGCACUUUCAGUAGAGAAGAAAAGCUUAGGGAUAAUACCCCUGAGUCUUGACGUAACCUACAGAAGAAGCACCGGCUAACUCCGUGCCAGCAGCCGCGGUAAUACGGAGGGUGCGAGCGUUAAUCGGAAUUACUGGGCGUAAAGCGCGCGUAGGUGGUUUGUUAAGCGAGAUGUGAAAGCCCCGGGCUCAACCUGGGAACUGCAUUUAGAACUGGAAGGCUAGAGUAUGGUAGAGGAGUGUGGAAUUUCAGGUGUAGCGGUGAAAUGCGUAGAGAUCUGAAGGAACAUCAGUUGCGAAGGCGACACUCUGGACCAAUACUGACGCUGAGGUGCGAAAGCGUGGGUAGCAAACAGGAUUAGAUACCCUGGUAGUCCACGCCGUAAACGAUGUCUACUAGCCGUUGGGUUCCUUGAGGACUUAGUGGCGCAGCUAACGCAUUAAGUAGACCGCCUGGGGAGUACGGCCCCCCAUGUUAAAACUCAAAUGAAUUGACGGGGGCCCGCACAAGCGGUGGAGCAUGUGGUUUAAUUCGAUGCAACGCGAAGAACCUUACCAGGUCUUGACAUCCUACUAAGUUUCCAGAGAUGGAUUCGUGCCUUCGGGAACUCGGUGACAGGUGCUGCAUGGCUGUCGUCAGCUCGUUUCGUGAGAUGUUGGGUUAAGUCCCGUAACGAGCGCAACCCUUAUCCUUAUUUGCCAGCACGUAAUGUGGGAACUCUAAGGAGACUGCCGGUGACAAACCGGAGGAAGGUGGGGACGACGUCAAGUCAUCAUGGCCGUUACGACCUGGGCUACACACGUGCUACAAUGGCCGAUACAGAGGGCUGCAAUACCCCGAGGAGGAGCUAAUCUCAGAAAACCGGUCGUAGUCCGGAUUGGAGUCUGCAACUCGACUCCAUGAAGUCGGAAUCGCUAGUAAUCGCGAAUCAGAAUGUCGCGGUGAAUACGUUCCCGGGCCUUGUACACACCGCCCGUCACACCAUGGGAGUGGAUUGCACCAGAAGUAGGUAGCUUAACCUUCGGGAGAGCGCUUACCACGGUGUGGUUCAUGACUGGGGUGAAGUCGUAACAAGGUAGCCGUAGGGGAACCUGCGGCUGGAUCACCUC
rnacentral:rRNA from 1 species